CCUACGGGAGGCUGCAGUGGGGAAUAUUGGACAAUGGGCGAAAGCCUGAUCCAGCCAUGCCGCGUGUGUGAAGAAGGCCUUCGGGUUGUAAAGCACUUUCAGUGGGGAAGAAAGCCUUGGGGCUAAUACCCUCGAGGAAGGACAUCACCCACAGAAGAAGCACCGGCUAACUCCGUGCCAGCAGCCGCGGUAAUACGGGGGUGCGAGCGUUAAUCGGAAUUACUGGGCGUAAAGCGCGCGUAGGCGGUCUGAUAAGCCGGUUGUGAAAGCCCCGGGCUCAACCUGGGAACGGCAUCCGGAACUGUCAGGCUAGAGUGCAGGAGAGGAAGGUAGAAUUCCCGGUGUAGCGGUGAAAUGCGUAGAGAUCGGGAGGAAUACCAGUGGCGAAGGCGACCUUCUGGACUGACACUGACGCUGAGGUGCGAAAGCGUGGGUAGCAAACAGGAUUAGAUACCCUAGUAGUC
rnacentral:rRNA from 1 species